rnacentral:rRNA from 1 species
GACGAACCGAGCGAACGUUGUUCGGAAUCACUGGGCUUAAAGGGCGCGUAGGCGGGCUGCAAAGUCCGGGGUGAAAGCCCCCCGCUCAACGGGGGAACGGCCUCGGAUACUGGCGGCCUGGAGGCGGGUAGGGGCAGGCGGAACUGUGGGUGGAGCGGUGAAAUGCGUUGAGAUCCACAGGAACUCCGGUGGCGAAGGCGGCCUGCUGGACCCGAACUGACGCUGAGGCGCGAAAGCCAGGGGAGCAAACGGG